UGCAGGAAUUGCUACCGUGGCACCCUGGCCUCUAUCCACAACAAGCAAAUCAACAGGAAUAUCCAGAUCUCCUGCAAUAACUUCCAUGGCAAUGUCUGGAUUGGAGGCACUGUCUAUGCCAGGGCAGGAAAGGAGAGCCAUAGAUAGCCAGAGACAUCAAUGAGAGAGAAACAUCGAUCACCUGCCUCUUGCCCACCUUCUACUGGGGAUGUAAACGCAACCAAGUGUCUCCCGUUACACUGGAUUGAUGGGAGCAUUGUCAAUUAUAGCCACUGGGCUCCUCGUCAUGGGCACGGCCACUGUGUGACCCUAUCCACCAGAGGUGGUUAUUGGCGACAAUCAUGUUGUGAAAGACUUCUGCCCUUCGUCUGCUCCUCCUAAGCCAGUGGCAAG